rnacentral:rRNA from 1 species
ACUAACUGGAGGACCGAACCGACUAAUGUUGAAAAAUUAGCGGAUGACCUGUGGCUGGGGGUGAAAGGCCAAUCAAACCGGGAGAUAGCUGGUUCUCCCCGAAAGCUAUUUAGGUAGCGCCUCGUGAAUUCAUCUCCGGGGGUAGAGCACUGUUUCGGCUAGGGGGCCAUCCCGGCUUACCAACCCGAUGCAAACUGCGAAUACCGGAGAAUGUUAUCACGGGAGACACACGGCGGGUGCUAACGUCCGUCGUGAAGAGGGAAACAACCCAGACCGCCAGCUAAGGUCCCAAAGUCAUGGUUAAGUGGGAAACGAUGUGGGAAGGCCCAGACAGCCAGGAUGUUGGCUUAGAAGCAGCCAUCAUUUAAAGAAAGCGUAAUAGCUCACUGGUCGAGUCGGCCUGCGCGGAAGAUGUAACGGGGCUAAACCAUGCACCGAAGCUGCGGCAGCGACACUGUGUGUUGUUGGGUAGGGGAGCGUUCUGUAAGCCUGUGAAGGUGUGUCGUGAGGCAUGCUGGAGGUAUCAGAAGUGCGAAUGCUGACAUAAGUAACGAUAAAGCGGGUGAAAAGCCCGCUCGCCGGAA